rnacentral:rRNA from 1 species
CGCGGUUCGCUGCCUGCGACGUCGCGAGAAUUCCACUGAACCUUAUCAUUUAGAGGAAGGAGAAGUCGUAACAAGGUUUCCGUAGGUGAACCUGCGGAAGGAUCAUUGUCGAAUCCUGCAAAGCAGAACGACCCGUGAACAUGUAGCAACAUCUUGUGUUGGGUGUAUCGAGCAUUUGUUUGAGCUACCCAAUGCUUUGCCGAUGCGCAUUCAAUUGGGCCUUUUUGGUUCUUGUGAAUGUUGUAAAGGCACACUAACAAACCCCGGCACGGAAUGUGCCAAGGAAAACUAAAUUUAAGAAUGGCUCUUCCCAUUUGCCCCGUUUGCGGUGUGCUCAUGGGAUGUGGCUUCUUUGUAACUACAAACGACUCUCGGCAACGGAUAUCUCGGCUCACGCAUCGAUGAAGAACGUAGCAAAAUGCGAUACUUGGUGUGAAUUGCAGAAUCCCGUGAACCAUCGAGUUUUUGAACGCAAGUUGCGCCCGAAGCCUUUUGGUCGAGGGCACGUCUGCCUGGGCGUCACGCAUCGCAUCGCCCCCGCCUCACAAUCACUAUUAAGGUGUAUGAUUCGGGAGCGGAGAUUGGACUCCCGUGCUAAUGGCGCAGUUGUCUAAAAUAGGAGUCCCCUUUGAUGGACGCACAAUAAGUGGUGGUCGUCAAAACCCUCGUCUUUUGUUGUGCGUUAUGAGUUGCAAGGGAGAACACUUCACGAACCCUAAUGUGUUGUCUUUGGACGAUGCUUCGACCGCGACCCCAGGUCAGGCGGGACUACCCGCUGAGUUUAAGCAUAUCAAUAAG